rnacentral:lncRNA from 1 species
GUUGGAGGUAUGCCCUAGAGGCAAUUAUAGAGAUGAUGAUAUUCCAUUUGUAUCCAUGAUUUGUAUGUUGUGUUCAUUGAAUAUCCAUUGAAGGCUACUUGAAUUGAUUUGCAAUUAUGUGAAUUGUAUGUGAAACUCUUUACUUGUAUGGUUAUUCUAAAGUUGUCCCUAGUCGGAGUUCAUGUGAGGACACACAUGAAUAUUAGACUAGCACAUGUAUUAGUUGAUGACUAUGUUUCACAAGUCAUGGACAUGGAGAUGUUGAACUAAUAAUGUGGACACAUGUGGAGACAUGUGCUAGGACUGACCCAACACGAGAAGUAGUU